rnacentral:tRNA from 1 species
GCAGCUGUAGCUCAGAUGGUUAGAGCGCCGGUCUGUGGAACCGGAGGUCGGUGGUUCGAAGCCACCCAGCUGUACCA